rnacentral:rRNA from 1 species
ACAACCUGCCUCAAAGACCGGGACAACAUCUCGAAAGGGGUGCUAAUACCGGAUGUGGCCAUCCUGCUGCAUGGUGGGAUGAUUAAAUCGAGCAAUCGGCUUUGAGAGGGGCUUGCGGCCUAUCAGCUAGAUGGUGGGGUAACGGCCUACCAUGGCGACGACGGGUAGCUGGUCUGAGAGGACGGCCGGCCGGACUGGGACUGAGAUACGGCCCAG